UCCCCGGUUCCGUAGGUGAACCUGCGGAAGGA
rnacentral:rRNA from 1 species